rnacentral:rRNA from 1 species
UACAGAGGGUGCGAGCGUUAAUCGGAUUUACUGGGCGUAAAGCGUGCGUAGGCGGCUAAUUAAGUCGGAUGUGAAAUCCCCGAGCUCAACUUGGGAAUUGCAUUCGAUACUGGUUAGCUAGAGUAUGGGAGAGGAUGGUAGAAUUUCAGGUGUAGCGGUGAAAUGCGUAGAGAUCUGGAGGAAUACCGAUGGCGAAGGCAGCCAUCUGGCCUAAUACUGACGCUGAGGUACGAAAGCAUGGGGAGCAAACAGG